CCUACGGGUGGCAGCAGUGGGGAAUAUUGCACAAUGGGCGCAAGCCUGAUGCAGCCAUGCCGCGUGUGUGAAGAAGGCCUUCGGGUUGUAAAGCACUUUCAGCGGGGAGGAAGGCGGUGAGGUUAAUAACCUCAUCGAUUGACGUUACCCGCAGAAGAAGCACCGGCUAACUCCGUGCCAGCAGCCGCGGUAAUACGGAGGGUGCAAGCGUUAAUCGGAAUUACUGGGCGUAAAGCGCACGCAGGCGGUCUGUCAAGUCGGAUGUGAAAUCCCCGGGCUCAACCUGGAAACUGCAUUCGAAACUGGCAGGCUAGAGUCUUGUAGAGGGGGGUAGAAUUCCAGGUGUAGCGGUGAAAUGCGUAGAGAUCGGGAGGAAUACCGGUGGCGAAGGCGGCCCCCUGGACAAAGACUGACGCUCAGGUGCGAAAGCGUGGGGAGCAAACAGGAUUAGAUACCCUUGUAGUC
rnacentral:rRNA from 1 species